CAUGCUGUGACAUCAUAGUGGGACAACUCACAGAGCUGAGCUGCACGUCCUGCCCCACAGCUCAGCCUUGGGGUGAGGCUGCUUCUCUCUUACAGGAGUAGAACAUGGAUGGGAAGCAGAGCCAGGCUGACCCGCAGAGCUACUUCUGCAUGGAGCAUGGAGCUGCUGGGAGGAACAGGACAGCUGGUAACUGCAGCCCCGCAGUGCCUUGGGUGUGACAUUGGCUGUACGUUGUUUCUUACAUCUGUGAUCUGGGGGCAAACAGGGGCCUGAAGUGAUGCCUGUCACGGAGAAAACAUCAUCAGGCAGAAAUGAUCUCAUGUUUUGUCUAAUCUAAAUUCUGUCAAGCAAGCAGGGAGAAAGAAAAAAAAAAAAAAGGGAUGGAAAGCAAGCAAGAGAAGACUACGCAGCUAAUAAAAAUCUGUGAGACACA